rnacentral:rRNA from 1 species
GAGUUUGAUCGUGGCUCAGGAUGAACGCUGGCGGCGUGCUUAACACAUGCAAGUCGAGCGGGAAUACGGAGGCGGAAUUUUUCGGAAGGAAGCCUUUGUGUUUUAGCGGCGGACGGGUGAGUAACGCGUGGAUAACCUGCCCCAUACCGGGGGGAUAACAGUUAGAAAUGACUGCUAAUACCGCAUAAGCGCACGGAGCCGCAUGGCGCAGUGUGAAAAACUCCGGUGGUAUGGGAUGGAUCCGCGUCUGAUUAGCUAGUUGGCGGGGUAACGGCCCACCAAGGCAGCGAUCAGUAGCCGACCUGAGAGGGUGGACGGCCACAUUGGGACUGAGACACGGCCCAGAUUCCUACGGGAGGCAGCAGUGGGGGAUAUUGCACAAUGGGGGCAACCCUGAUGCAGCGACGCCGCGUGAGCGAUGGAGUACUUCGGUAUGUAAAGCUCUGUCAGCAGGGAAGAGAAUGACGGUACCUGACCAAGAAGCCCCGGCUAAAUACGUGCCAGCAGCCGCGGUAACACCG